GCAGUCGUGGCCGAGUAAUUAAGGCGAUGGACUAGAAAUCCAUUGGGGUCUCCCCGCACAGGUUCGAAUCCUGUCGACUACG
rnacentral:tRNA from 2 species